UUAAGGAAAAGUCACAAUAUACUCCACUAUUGUAGUAAGGAUGGCAAAUUCAAAUCAUUCAACUGAAAUCUGAAUUUUGUCAAAUCCUCUUUGGUGCAAGAACAGAUGAGGAUGGUGGAAGAAAGUGGAUUUAAGCUAUAAUUGGACUCCUAUGAACAGUCAAACGCUGGACAGGCAGGGCUGGCAAUCAUAGUUCUCUGGGCCUGAGGAUGUGGCUUUGUGGGAUGCGGAGUGAGAUGAGUGGUGCAAGAUGAAGCCAAGAGACAUCAGGGGUGUUGUGAUACCACAGUAUGAAUGUAGUAACUCACAUCUGAUGCUUGGGAAAAUUAGCUGUUUUCUGAAAACCCAGGAUCUUCCUGUGCAAGAAUUGAGCUGUUUGUUACAACAUGAAUAAGUCUGAAAGAAGUCACAUGUGCCGG
rnacentral:lncRNA from 1 species